rnacentral:piRNA from 1 species
UCCAGGAUGUAUAUUCUGAUGCCUAGUGAGA